AUUCUCAGGAAUUAGUCAUUCAAAAGACGGUGAGGAAAAGAAUGGUCGACAAACCUUGUGUGGUGCCUUAACAGUCCAACAGACUAAGGGAUAGAUAAAGGUGGAUCUUGAUUAAACUGCCUGGUUUUGUGGUUUGCACGAGACGGUUGACACAAUGAUCUGAAGUUUAAACUGCCAUAUUCUACUGUCCGCUGCGAGAUCUUGGCUGGAAUGUAAAAGGAAUAUCCAAAAUAUUUAAAUGACAAACAGGAUGGGAACUGAUUAUGAGGAAUAUGCUGAAACAGACAUCUGGCAUAUUCCUAUAAUCAGUAUCAUGGCCUUUGUAUACAACAAAAUUGAUUGGAACUCCUAGACUAGAAAUAUAAUUCAAGAUUUAAAUAAGGCACUGGUCAUAGUUUUAGAAAGUGUGGCUAACAUUCUGGUAAGAUAUUUUAUUGAUAAUUAGAAAUUAAAUUAAAUUUUAUUUAAUGAUUUUAAAUUUCUUUUUUAAGAAUUAUGGUCCAUUUUUUCCCCAUUUGUGUACAAAGAAGGAAG